rnacentral:rRNA from 1 species
GUAAUCACUUGUCUUCUAAAUAAAGACUACAUCACGAGAACUCAACUGUCUCCUUUUUUCAAUCAGUGAACCUAAUCUCCCCGGGAAAAAGCGGGAAUUUACAAAUUAAACGAAAAAAUGAAGCUUUAAACACGUUUUUGGUUGGGGGGACCGCGGAAAAAACCUCCCCAAUGACACAACUUUAAGUAUCAACAAAUUGACUAAUGAACCAAGUUACUCUAGGGAUAACAGCGCAAUCCACUUCAAAAAUCGACAAGGGGGCUUACACCUCCAUGUUGGAUCAGGGCAUCCCAGUGGGGCAGCCCCUACUAAUGGU